ACCAAUCUUUCUUCAUUUAAUCUUCAUUUAAUGUUAAAGACAAGAUUCUCAUACUUGUCUCAUUUCACGUGUCUUGAGCAUCCACUUUCAAAUAUCAAUCUUGCUUGGUGGAUGUCAAGUACACCUGCAAAAAAAUAAUUAAUUUUUGGAUCUAGGUACCCAAUUCAGAUUGGGUCCUGGGGGGUCAGUCUUAAACACAGAUUCUUUUGCUAUCCAAACUUGCUUC
rnacentral:lncRNA from 1 species